AUGCAAUCCCAAUCAAAAACGGAAGCCUUACCUGAUGGCAGAAAAGGCAGUUGCAGGAGCAGCAGCAGGGACGGCCGCAGCAGGGUGCCAACAGCCCAGCCUUGCGCGGAAGAAGGUUCUCCAGGCCGGGCAGCCAGUAGACACCACUUUCUUCCUGGAAGAGGCUGCCUCUCUUCUCAGAAACGCCUGGACCCCUCUCUGUGGCUCCCUCCACAUUUACCCUUCAGAUCAAUAAUGCUUUCGGAGCGGCUGGAGCUCAACUGCAGCGGCGAGCGGCGAGCCAAUGGGGGCCCAGGAUUCCCUCCUGUCAUCUCCCCGCCCUCAAAACAAAACACAGCGUGCCUUUGACACAUCAUUGAGUUGUGAAAAGUAAUUGAAUCCUAUAUUUGAAAUGUAUCUUGUUUGUUCUUUUUCCCCCCUAGCGUUCAUUGUAGAAUGCUUUGAAUGAAUCCGAGGACUCCUUAGCUCUCAGAAGGCUCAUUAAAGGAGCUAGCGGAGAGUGAAGAUUAGGCGCUGAGAAAGUGAUAGCACCUGGGUUAGCAUCUGAAGCUUUGCUUUUUAAAUGCUUGAGGUCUAUCGCAUAUCAGAGAACUGUCAACUGGGAAGAAAAAGUCGUGGGUUCUAUUAGUCUUUCCGCCACUAAGUCGCUUGAGUCUUUUAUUUUGUAAAUCAAGACAAUUAAUUACGUUUACCUGGAAGCUGUUUCAUUGUUUAAUUGUCUAAACGAGAAUCAGAUGCUUAUUGUGGUAAUAACCAUGUGCAAGCAAUUUCUCCUAAUCCAUUUACUUGUUUCUAGGCUGAUUUAACUUGGUUCAGAUUCUGUGAAGAAGAUUGUUAAGACUAUAUAUAUUAGUCUGGUCUGUUUUAAUUUUGUCGUGUUUAAAUAUUGUAAGAUUUUAAAAUUAAUGUUAACUUCUCUUUAUGAGAGAAUUUAUUAAUAAUUACAUAAAACUUUAUAGAAUAUUAUAAUGGCAAUAAAAUAUUACAAUGAAAAGUAUAAUUGUUGAAAACCUAUUCCUCCAAAAGCCACAAAACAACUUUACAUUCUUUAACCAUGAUUAUAUUCCUUGGUGUUUCACUAUUAAAAUGCUAACUAUUGAAUAAAAAUUUGCUUAUAUUCACCAAGAAUUGUGUAUUUUCUAAGAAUCUCAGUCAUUUUAUUAUUUAGACAUCAAGAAUGCCACAAUAUUUCAGGUAAUCAUUUAAUUUCGUUCUAUAAAAAAUCUCGAGUACAGAGUCUCAAUACAGUUUUAAAAAUAUGUCUAUGUACAGUAGGAUUGGUAGCUCAAAUUGCACAAAUAAUAAUGUCUUUUCAAUGCUAGUGUGGAAAAAGAAUAAAAUUAUUGUGACUGUCUGAAAUCUUUUUGUUUCACUGAAUACAAAUGGGUUGAUGUAGUUGGUGUAGCCAAGCUUUGUGUAUCGUGACAAAUUGAAAUGGCUUGGGGAGACUUUACAAACAAAACAAUUUCGUGACCUGUCUAUCAUGUGAAAGGAGGCAUGGAAAAAUGUAAUAUUUAUACACUGUAUGCUGUGUCGCUAUAACAAGGUGAAUGCUAACUUUAUUGUAACUCAUUUAUGUAGCCAAUAAAAUUUCAUUCAGGGCAGUCUCUGGCUAAGUUUGGUCACCUGGAUUUUGUGAAGAAAAGAAUAUGCUGAUGAAAAAAUGAACCAUAAACAUUGCUUUUCCCUCAAUUGUAUAGUAUAUUUUUCAUUUAUUUAAAUUCCUUUUUU
rnacentral:lncRNA from 1 species